rnacentral:rRNA from 1 species
UACGUAGGGGGGCUAGCGUUGUCCGGAAUCAUUGGGCGUAAAGCGCGUGUAGGCGGUCCGGUAAGUCCGCUGUGAAAGUCGGGGGCUCAACCCUCGGAUGCCGGUGGAUACUGUCGGGCUUGAGUACGGAAGAGGCGAGUGGAAUUCCUGGUGUAGCGGUGAAAUGCGCAGAUAUCAGGAGGAACACCUGCGGCGAAGGCGGGUUGCUGGGCCGACACUGACGCUGAAGCGCGAAAGCCAGGGGAGCGAACGGGG